AACGAACGCUGGCGGCAUGCCUAACACAUGCAAGUCGAACGAGACCUUCGGGUCUAGUGGCGCACGGGUGCGUAACGCGUGGGAAUCUGCCCUUGGGUUCGGGAUAACAGUUGGAAACGACUGCUAAUACCGGAUGAUGACUUCGGUCCAAAGAUUUAUCGCCCAGGGAUGAGCCCGCGUCGGAUUAGCUAGUUGGUGAGGUAAGAGCUCACCAAGGCGACGAUCCGUAGCUGGUCUGAGAGGAUGAUCAGCCACACUGGGACUGAGACGCGGCCCAGACUCCUACGGGAGGCAGCAGUGGGGAAUAUUGGACAAUGGGCGAAAGCCUGAUCCAGCAAUGCCGCGUGAGUGAUGAAGGCCUUAGGGUUGUAAAGCUCUUUUACCCGGGAUGAUAAUGACAGUACCGGAAGAAUAAGCCCCGGCUAACUCCGUG
rnacentral:rRNA from 1 species